CCCUUAGAUGUUCUGGGCCGCACGCGCGCUACACUGAUGCAUUCAACAAGCCUAGCCUUGACCGAGAGGUCCGGGUAAUCUUUGAAACUGCAUCGUGAUGGGGCUAGAUUAUUGCAAUUAUUAAUCUUCAACGAGGAAUGCCUAGUAAGCGUGAUUCAUCAAAUCGCGUUGAUUACGUCCCUGCCCUUUGUACACACCGCCCGUCGCUCUUACCGAUUGAAUGUGUUGGUGAGGAGCUCGGAUUGGCAGCAGUUGGUGGUUCGCCACCGGCUAUUGCUGAGAAGUCCUCCAAACCGCCCCAUUUAGAGGAAGGAGAAGUCGUAACA
rnacentral:rRNA from 1 species